rnacentral:rRNA from 1 species
AUUGAACGCUGGCGGCAGGCCUAACACAUGCAAGUCGAGCGGAGCGGCGGACGGGAGAGUAAUGCCUAGGCAUCUGCCUGGUAGUGGGGGAUAACGUCCGGAAACGGGCGCCAAUUCCGCAUACUAUCAGAUGAGCCUAGGUGGGAUUAGCAAGUUGGUGGGGUAAAGGCCUACCAAGGCGACGGUCCGUAACUGGUACGAGAGGAUGAUUGAUCACACUGGAACGGAGACACGGUCCAGACUCCUACGGGAGGAAGCAGUGGGGAAUAUUGGACAAGGGGGGAAAGCCGGAUCAGGCCAUGCCGCGUGUGUGAAGAAGGGCUUCGGAUUGUAAAGCACUUUAAGUUGGGAGGCGGUACCAACAGAGUAAGCACCGGCUAACUUCGUGCCAGCAGCCGCGGUAAUAC